ACGCCUCCACCCCGCCCACCUCUAACUUCUGAAACCCUCCGACAAAGAGCGUGUAAUACGAUCAUUUCUUUUCACGUUAUCAAAAGGGCGGAGGAGAAAACAGAAAGUGGGGAGGCGGCCCCAGCCACCCGGAGAAAUAAAAAUAUAAAGAGGAAAGACAUAGGAACCAGACAAAGGAGGUAGAGAAAGAGAAUCACUCAGGAGAAGACAGGCUUUUCUUUUCCUCGGGCCUCAGGACUUGGAGUAUUCAGGACUAUCCCCCAGUUGGGAUGCAUUCCAGCCAGACUGCACGACUCGGGUGGAAAAAAAAAAUCAGCUCUUACUUCUUUCCUGACUAAGGGAGAGAGGAUCAUACUCCAAGCAAAACGAAGCAGAGACUAAGAACAAAUGAAUGGAAAGUCCUGACCUUGUCUGCGUCUCCUGAAUCAGCCAUGCCUGAAGUCUGCUCCAAGAUCAUCUAACUCAUACAGCAACAUGCUGGUUGGGUUCUGUCAACAUGCUACAGACCUAGACAUGUCUGGGAAGAGGGAUUUUGAGAAAAUUCAUCCAUAAGAUUUACCUGUGGGCACAGCUGUGGGGCAUUUUCUUCAUUAAUGAUUGAUAUGGGAGGGCCCACCCCUGCUUAGGAUGUCCUGAUUUGUAUAAGAAACCCGGCUGAGCAAGGUAGAAGGAGCAAGCCAGUUAGCAACACUCUUCCAUGACUUCUGCAUCAAUUGCUGCCUCCAGGUUCCUGCCUUGAGUUCUUGCUUUGACUUCCCUCAGUGAUGGACUUUGAUGGGAAACUUUAAGCUGAAAUAAACACUUUCUUCCCUA
rnacentral:lncRNA from 1 species